GCAGUGGUGGCUCAGUGGUAGAAUUCUCACCUUCCAUGCAGGAGACCUGGGUUCAAUUCCCGGCCAAAGCA
rnacentral:tRNA from 1 species